GCCUGGAUAGCUCAGUGGUAGAGCAAUCCCCUUGUAAGGGAUAGGUCGUGAGUUCAAAUCUCACUCCAGGCUCCA
rnacentral:tRNA from 1 species